AUUGGAAUGAGGUCUGUGUCUGCAUUUGUCUGCCAUUAUCUGCACUAGAGACACGCUGAAGGAAGAUAACCAACAGAAUACUCCACAUCACCCUUUGCUCUGAGAAGGCUGCCAGAUCUUAAAAGGGAAAUUAAAAGCAAGGUAUUGCCAAUGAAAAGAGAAGUCAAGUAACCUGGGUACAGUCCAAAUCCCUGGAUCUGAUGAAUGCAGAGAAAAACUUCAUAGCCAGUCCCUACUACAGUAAAGGAGUGAGUCAAACUCUGGAGGCUCUGCAGCUGUGCUACCAACCAUCACUUAUUUGUCCAUUCUGUUCCCCCACUGAGAACACGUAGAAGUGUCUUAAGUCAGUACUUCCUGAUUAAAGAGGAAAAAAAAAAAAACUAUCACCCUCAUUGAUUGCUGCAACAAACAAAAUGGAGAGAGGAUACUUUCUUCAGCAGGAUGAUAUACAAAAAACAUAUUUGGAGGACAGUAUUUCUCUAAGAAGAAAUAAUUCUACAUUCUGAUAUACAUUGAAGAUGAAAGUGUGGAUCACAGCAUGAGAUCCCAACCACUACUGUCCAGUUCUGUACCCACCAAUGUAUUAAAAAUUUAAACCACGAUAGAGGAGGUUAACCUUCUGUGUUAAAAUAUUAUGCUUAUACAUUUCAACUUUAUCAACAUCUUAUCACUACCACGUUAUCAACAUGUUAUUCAGUUGUCCAGCUUGACUUGCUAUGUCAAGAAAUGUUAUUCUUCUUCAUGGUUCUCUUUAACCUAAAUAAUUUUCUGUUAUCAGCAACAUUCACCAACCCAGUCACCAAAUCAAUAAUAAAUACACCAAAGAACAUCAGGACUGAUGCACUACCAGAGGAAACCAUUACAAACUGCUUUUUACUGUCAAAAAAUUAUCUGCAGUUUCCAGGAAAGUAUGCCCUUUAAAUCAAGUUGCCUGCCUGGUAAUGUCAUACUGAGAUAACUCAAUGCAAGUCACAUAAUUACAUCAUGCAACUUUAUAUCAUUUGACAUGGCUGAGGCAAUCUAACAUAAAAUAUCACAGUAUAAAGCAUCAGCUGGAAAAUUUAAACAUUGCCUUUUUUUUUCUUCCUAGAUGGGAAAGGGGUAAGAAGCCCUCACAAUCUUUAUAUUUUCAACUUUAGUCUUUGAAGAGAGGAAAAAAAGAAAAAGCAUGGCUUGUCCAUAAUACUGAUUUUUAUAUAUGAACUAAAACAUGAAAUUGACAGUGACUUCACUGCAACUUGAAUCUAAAGCUUCUUGGACAACAGUCUACUAUCAUGAUCAGGAUCUCUGUACAGAGCUCAACAUACUC
rnacentral:lncRNA from 1 species